UACGUAGGGCGCAAGCGUUGUCCGGAAUUAUUGGGCGUAAAGAGCUCGUAGGCGGCUUGUCACGUCGGGUGUGAAAGCCCGGGGCUUAACCCCGGGUCUGCAUUCGAUACGGGCAGGCUAGAGUGUGGUAGGGGAGAUCGGAAUUCCUGGUGUAGCGGUGAAAUGCGCAGAUAUCAGGAGGAACACCAAAGGCGAAGGCAGUGUCCUGGGGAGUACCUGACGCUCAGGUGCGAAAGCCAGGGGAGCGAACGGG
rnacentral:rRNA from 1 species